CGGUAAUUCCAGCUCCAACAGCGUAUAUUAAAGUUGUUGCAGUUAAAAAGCUCGUAGUUGGAUUUCUGCGGGGACGGAGCGGCCGGACGCAACUUGCGUCUCGUGCUAGCGCUUUCCCCCGCAUCCUGCCGCGAACCGUGCUACCAUUAGUUUGGUGGCGCUGGGGAUCGGCUCGAUUACUUUGAGAAAAAUAGAGUGUUCAAAGCAGGCCACACGCCUUGAAUAAGUUAGCAUGGAAUAAUGACUAAGGACUUUGGUUCUUUUCGUUGGUGUUCGGGACUGAAGUAAUGAUUGAUAGGGACAGUUGGGGCGGUCCGUAUUCCAAAGCGAGAGGUGAAAUUCUUAGACCUUCGGAAGACGAACAGCUGCGAAAGCGUUCCGCAAGGAUGUUCCCUUUGAUCAAGAACGAAAGUUGGGGGAUCGAAGACGAUCAGAUACCGUCGUAGUCUCAACUAUAAACUAUACCAGCUAGGGAUCGGCCAACGUUUAAUUAUUCGACUUGGUCGGCACCUUAUGAGAAAUCAAAGCAUCUGGAUUCCGGGGGGAGUAUGGUCGCAAGGCUGAAACUUAAAGGAAUUGACGGAAGGGCACCACCAGGCGUGGAGCCUGUGGCUUAAUUUGACUCAACACGGGAAAACUUACCAGGUCCAGACAUAGGAAGGAUUGACAGAUUGAUAGCUCUUUCUUGAUUCUGUGGGUGGUGGUGCAUGGCCGUUUUUAGUCGGUGAAGUGAUUUGUCUGCUUAAUUGCGUUAACGGACGAGACCCCAGCCUGCUAAAUAGCGCGGCCGAGCUUUGCUCGGUACGGGCUUCUUAGAGGGACCAUGAUGCGCGAUAGCACAAGGAAGUUUGGGGCAACAACAGGUCUGUGAUGCCCUUAGAUGUUCUGGGCCGCACACGGGCUACACUGGCGCCUGCAACGAGCAUAUCAGCUGGCCCGAGAGGGUCUUGGCUAAUCUUUGGAACCGGCGCCGUGCUUGGGAUUGACCAUUGCAAUUGUUGGUCAUGCAGCGAGGAAUGCCUUGUAAACGCGAGUCAUCAGCUCGCAUUGAAUACGUCCCUGCCCUUUGUACACACCGCCCGUCGCUCCUACCGAUGAAUGUUCCGAUGAAAUUUUCGGAGAGCGCCGGAGAACGGGGCUCUGCCCUGCAGAACUGGAGGCUCAAAGUCACUUAAAUCUGAACAUUUCGAGGAAGGAGAAGUCGUAACAAGGUAACC
rnacentral:rRNA from 1 species